rnacentral:rRNA from 1 species
UGCUAUCUGCAGUCGAGCGGACAGAAGGGAGCUUGCUCCCGGAUGUUAGCGGCGGACGGGUGAGUAACACGUGGGUAACCUGCCUGUAAGACUGGGAUAACUCCGGGAAACCGGAGCUAAUACCGGAUAGUUCCUUGAACCGCAUGGUUCAAGGAUGAAAGACGGUUUCGGCUGUCACUUACAGAUGGACCCGCGGCGCAUUAGCUAGUUGGUGAGGUAACGGCUCACCAAGGCGACGAUGCGUAGCCGACCUGAGAGGGUGAUCGGCCACACUGGGACUGAGACACGGCCCAGACUCCUACGGGAGGCAGCAGUAGGGAAUCUUCCGCAAUGGACGAAAGUCUGACGGAGCAAUGCCGCGUGAGUGAUGAAGGUUUUCGGAUCGUAAAGCUCUGUUGUUAGGGAAGAACAAGUGCAAGAGUAACUGCUUGCACCUUGACGGUACCUAACCAGAAAGCCACGGCUAACUACGUGCCAGCAGCCGCGGUAAUACGUAGGUGGCAAGCGUUGUCCGGAAUUAUUGGGCGUAAAGGGCUCGCAGGCGGUUUCUUAAGUCUGAUGUGAAAGCCCCCGGCUCAACCGGGGAGGGUCAUUGGAAACUGGGAAACUUGAGUGCAGAAGAGGAGAGUGGAAUUCCACGUGUAGCGGUGAAAUGCGUAGAGAUGUGGAGGAACACCAGUGGCGAAGGCGACUCUCUGGUCUGUAACUGACGCUGAGGAGCGAAAGCGUGGGGAGCGAACAGGAUUAGAUACCCUGGUAGUCCACGCCGUAAACGAUGAGUGCUAAGUGUUAGGGGGGUUUCCGCCCCUUAGUGCUGCAGCUAACGCAUUAAGCACUCCGCCUGGGGAGU